GGGCUGGACCGGGCGAGGGCCGCGACGGAGCACGCAGGGCAGUGUACUCUGGAGAGAAGGCGUGGCCACCGAAGCAAGCAGACCUCUUCAGACGCCAACACAUGCAGUGUCUGGUUGUCAUUUCAGGGUACGAGCACCACCCUCCUCCUCCCCUGCUUCUCCGGUCUUCGUCCCUCUCGGCUCCUGGGUCCUCUUCCAGCAGGCCUCUCCCAGCGGCCUUCAGCGUUGGUCUUUGGGCUCCUCACGCCACCAUCGGUGUUUAGACUCCAUCGGGGGGUUCAUACUUCGGCCCUACCCCUUUUUAAAAGUUUCUCAGAAUUUUUAAAUUAUGGUGGAGUCUAAUCUCCAAAGACUGUACUGUACAUUUCACGCACCUAUACAAUAAAUCAUUACAUAUCUGCAA